ACAAAUAAUCAUUCAUUCCCAAAGGUUGCCUUUGAGGGGAGGUUAAAACUUGAAAGGUUACUCGUCAUCUUCGUUUAACCCUAAAUCGCCGAUGAAGAUUGCCGCAACGUGAAAUCUCUCCGAUCAUGUCUUUGCCGGCCAAUCGAACCAGGGUUCUCUGCAAGUUUUUUGCUCAUGGUGCAUGUCUGAAAGGGGAGCAUUGUGAGUUUUCUCAUGACUGGAAGGAUCCGGCUAAUAAUGUGUGCACUUUUUAUCAAAAAGGAGCUUGUGCGUAUGGUAGUCGUUGUAGAUAUGAUCAUGUUAAGGUUCCUCAACGACAAGCGUCUGCAUCUUCAUCCACAUAUUCUUAUCAAUAUGCUGUUUCAGAAUCUGUAUCUGCAACUGCAGCGACAGGUAUCACUGGCGAGGUAUCUACCGUAAGUAGACCUUUCGUAUCUCCUGCGCAAUCCGCAUGGGGUGAAGGUUCCGGAGAAAACGAUUUGGUAAAUGAUGUUAUUGGGCAAUCAAGGAGCACUAACCCGUCUGAUAUCGUGAUGUGUUCGUUUGCUGCUGCUGGUAGCUGCCCUCGUGGAGAAAAUUGCCCUCAUGUUCACGGUGAUAUAUGUCCUACAUGCAAAAAACAAUGCUUGCAUCCUUUUAGACCUGAUGAACGAGAAGAACAUAAAAGAAGUUGUGAGAAGAAACAUAAGCAUCUUGAAGCGUUGAAGCAUAGUCAAGAAAUAGAAUGCAGUGUUUGUCUUGAGCGUGUGCUUUUAAAACCAACAGCGGCAGAGAGAAAAUUUGGGUUAUUAUCGGAAUGUGAUCAUCCGUUUUGUAUAUCAUGUAUCAGGAAUUGGCGAAGCAGUUCCCCAACUUCUGGAAUGGAUGUGAAUUCGGCUUUGAGAUCCUGCCCAAUAUGUAGGAAGCUUUCAUAUUUUGUGAUUCCCAGUGUUAUUUGGUAUGCAACAAAAGAGGAAAAACAGGAAAUUGUUGAUAGCUACAAAGCAAGACUCAGGUCUAUUGACUGCAGGCACUUUGACUUUGGAAAUGGGACGUGCCCAUUUGGAUCCAGUUGUUUUUACAAGCAUGCUUACCGUGAUGGUCGCUUAGAAGAAGUUGUCUUGCGUCAUCUUGGGGCUGAAGAUGGACAGACUGUUGUUGCUAAAGAUAUCAGGCUGUCUGACUUCCUCAGCCGCAUGCGCAUAAGGUGAACAAUACUGCUUAACUACAGGAUAUUUGGUGUGCCCCAUCAUAAAAACACUUUCCUCUUUAGUUGUUAGUGUGGCUCUACAUAUUUUUUCAAGAUGGUUGUGGAGCCGAAUAUGGGGCAUGCCUAAAAACGAUAUCUAAGAAUAACUUGCACCUUAUAUUUUUUGUGGAUAAAGAAAGUGUAUGUUGAUUGAGUUAAAACAAUCUCAGUGAUAAACCGAUAAGUUAAAAAAAAACUUGUAUGAAACAUAAAGUGGAGGGAACCAUAACAGGUCAGGAGGUUGGCCUUGCGUUCCUGGGCGCCCUGCCCAUUUUGUAUGUUUUGGGGACUGUACAUGAUUUUGGUUCAGUUUGUGUUUUGUUUUUUUAAGGUUAUGUUAAUAAUGAUGUUUUUCGGGUAA